UGCAAGGCUAAAGCUCUGUCCUAUAUAUCACCCCCAUUAAGUCGUGAUUUUUUUCCUAGCAGUUUUAUAAGGAUACACUGCAUACACCGACUGCUUUAACUUGGAGAAUAUAUGACUUUUGAGUUAAGAGAAACUACACGAUGCAUGUGCAAAAAAAGAGUGAACAAGGAAAACAACCAAAACUUAGUAAAAAGAAGUCAUGCAAAUAAUUAGAAACAUUUCCUCUGUUUAGAAAUGAGCCUGGAAAAGUGAGGAACCAUGUUAUUCACUUCUGAAUUACUGUAUCUUAACAAAAAAAAAAAAUGUCAUGGCUGUUGUAGUCGAUAAGAAAGUGGCAGUUUUGUGAGUCAGUCCCACUUCUGGUCCACCCUACAAAAAUGUAUCUAUCAACUUUCUUAAACUGCAAAUAUCAGUAAUAUGGUAAAAGUUAUUUUUAUAUGAAAAUGACAUUAGAAACUAUCAAAACAAUUUGUGUAAUGUAGCUGUGGAUGAAAUGAACAUCAGUUUUAAAAAGGGAAGUGACUGCAUCAAUAUUUGAAACUGAAUUUCUCUACCUUUCUGCUUCCUUUCACAAAUCAGAGAUCUUUCUUUUAUAUAAGAAUUGCAAAUUGCUUUAUUAGCAAAAUAUGAAAAUGAUUACUGAAAUUCAUAAAGGUAAAAAUAUGGGUCCAACAAUUUCCCAUUGUACUUCACUAAUGAGAAUCUGCUAAAAAUAAAAUAGCCUGAGAACAUACUCAAGAAGAACGCCUUAAAUUGUCAAACGGAAAAUAAUAAUCCAAAAUGCAAUAAUAAAAUUUGGUGAAUUUUUGAAUUCCAGUCAUUGACUUCAUCCAACAUUUGUACCUUAUUUACUAAUAAAAAAAUGCAUGUCCUGUU